rnacentral:rRNA from 1 species
CCUACGGGAGGCAGCAGUGAGGAAUAUUGGUCAAUGGGCGGAAGCCUGAACCAGCCAAGUCGCGUGAGGGAAUAAGGCCCUACGGGUCGUAAACCUCUUUUGCCGGGGAGCAAGGGCGGGGACGUGUCCCGGCCCGGAGAGUACCCGGAGAAAAAGCAUCGGCUAACUCCGUGCCAGCAGCCGCGGUAAUACGGAGGAUGCGAGCGUUAUCCGGAUUUAUUGGGUUUAAAGGGUGCGUAGGCGGGCUUUUAAGUCAGCGGUAAAAAUUCGGGGCUCAACCCCGGCGAGCCGUUGAAACUGGCUGUCAUGAGAUGUCGAGAGGUAUGCGGAAUGCGCAGUGUAGCGGUGAAAUGCUUAGAUAUUGCGCAGAACUCCGAUUGCGAAGGCAGCAUACCGGCGGCGAUCUGACGCUGAGGCACGAAAGCGUGGGUAUCGAACAGGAUUAGAUACCCUUGUAGUC